GUGUAUGUGUGUGUGUGUGUGUGUGUGUGUGUGUGUGUGUGUGUGUGUGUCUGUGUGUGUGUGUGUGUGUGUGUGUGUGUGUGUGUGUGUGUGUGUGUGUGUGUGUGUGUGUGUGUAUACAUACACUUUUGAUAUGUUUAUAUAGAUAAGAGAAAGAGAAACAAAAGUGGAGGGGGACUUCCAGGUAAAGCUUAAUACAGCUAUGAGGCCAGCUAUGAUCAAAUGUGGACAACUCAUAUUCCUUGCAGAAGUGUGUUCUAUAAGUGUUUGUGCUGGAAGGGAUGAUUGGAUGGCAAAGCUACAAACCAAUAGAAAUGUGUUGCACUAUAGACCUGUGAAUAAAUGAACUUCCGGGGCUGGUUUGAACCAAAAAUGAUGGCAUCACCGCCCUUGCGUCAUCUAUUUGUGACAAAUUUCAGAAGUGCGUGGCAUGUUUUAAAUCACCGUGUGCUGCAACUUUUGUGUCCCAUCGCAAAAUGUUGCUCUUUUUUUAAAGAGUGAUCUUCACGGUCUAACAUGGUAGUUUAUUGAUUGUACGCUGGAGUGGAGAUUAUGUGGAGAGAGCAAGAACAUGAAGAGGAAAGUUAAAACAUCCAGUUUUUUCUUUUGGAACAAGGUUAUCUUUUUUUAUUUAUCUUUUUAUUUUGAAGGUCUUGAAAACAUCCCAUUGUUUUUCUAACAAUAUCACUGGAUUGGUAUUUGGACAUUUCAGUAGCGAAAUGUCGAUCUCAGCUUAAAAUAGAAAAGGUGUUUAAGAAUUCCCAAUAGAUAAAUGCAAACAAAAAGGAAACAUUGAGGCAAAAGCCAACCAGAUUAAAUUAUAUAUAAAAAAAAUUGUGCCUACAUGAUACGCCCUCUACCCGGUGAGCCACCAACCGGAUUCAAUAAGAUACUUUUCUCAUGUGAUGUUUUUAUUUUUACAAGCGUGAGAAGUGGAUUCACAAGCACAUACUAGGCUACAAUGGCAUAUUAAUCUCACAAAGAGCUGGGGAAUCGUUUAUUCAAGUCUCCAUUAUGCGCUCUAUAAAGCUGUGGAACGUAGGGCCUUGGGAGAGCACACAUGUAGAGCUGGAGAACAUAGGACACAUAAUCAACUUGUUCAUGUUCCAUAUACAUUUGGGGGACAUAGGUCCCUGGAGUCAAGUCAAAAUUGUCCCUCGGCUAUUUAAAAAAAUAACAUAUAGACUAUAAAGUAACUUGCAUCAUUUUUGUUGACAUGAAAUUGUAAUUUUAGAAAGGAAUGUACUAUUUUUGGUGUAGAGAGCUAUAGACAGUUUGUGCCACAAGUAUAGCAUUGGCUCAGCUGGUUAAACUAUGAUACGUUACUUCGUACUAACUAAUGGAUCUCAGACCAGGAUCAAAAUGUGUCAAAAUGGUGCUUUUACACUACAAUAUUAACAGGGGAGAGAAACCGCCUACAUGGGUUGAUGGGAACAAUGUUUUAUUACUACUCUUAUUUCAAGACAGCCAGGUAUUAAUUUGGGCACUGAUACUUAAUGAAUGUAUGGUAUAGCAGAAAAUGUUGUGCUUCAUCCAUAAAUGAUGCAGAAAAAGAAAAUUGGCCAUUCAUUCCUAUCCCUUGCCAUGGUGUUCCUUCCAGAUAAUACAUUUUCAAAAAUAAUGUAGAUUGACAGGUCUAUGAACUACACUCAAAUGCCAAGCCCCCCCUAUGGACUCCAUAGAUAAGACUAAUCUAAGAAGCAGCCCCACUUUGUAAUACUCUCCUGCUAGAACGAUUGACUUAUCCUUUUUAAUUAAGUAUGUUAUUUGCUUUUUUGCUUAGUAUUCCUUUGUAGCUGAGAAGCCAAACCACUGCGUUCUGUUUAUAUGUUGUAUGACUCGCAACAGAACUAUGCAGCUUUCUCAACUGAAUAGUAGGCCUAUCGUUUUAUUUACCAUUUUGUUGUGCUGAAAAUAAACAUGCCUUUUUAACCUUU